rnacentral:tRNA from 1 species
GGGCCCAUAGCUCAGCCUGGUUAGAGCGCCGGUCUUAUAAGCCGGAGGUCCGGAGUUCAAAUCUCCGUGGGCCCA